rnacentral:tRNA from 1 species
GCCUGGCUAGCUCAGUUGGUAGAGCAUGUGACUCUUGAUCUUGGGGUCAUGAGUUCAAUCCCCACAUUGGGCA